rnacentral:rRNA from 2 species
UAGAGGAAGUAAAAGUCGUAACAAGGUCUCCGUUGGUGAACCAGCGGAGGGAUCAUUACUGAGUUUACGCUCUAUAACCCUUUGUGAACAUACCUAUAACUGUUGCUUCGGCGGGUAGGGUCUCCGCGACCCUCCCGGCCUCCCGCCUCCGGGCGGGUCGGCGCCCGCCGGAGGAUAACCAAACUCUGAUUUAACGACGUUUCUUCUGAGUGGUACAAGCAAAUAAUCAAAACUUUUAACAACGGAUCUCUUGGUUCUGGCAUCGAUGAAGAACGCAGCGAAAUGCGAUAAGUAAUGUGAAUUGCAGAAUUCAGUGAAUCAUCGAAUCUUUGAACGCACAUUGCGCCCGCCAGCAUUCUGGCGGGCAUGCCUGUUCGAGCGUCAUUUCAACCCUCAAGCUCUGCUUGGUGUUGGGGCCCUACAGCUGAUGUAGGCCCUCAAAGGUAGUGGCGGACCCUCCCGGAGCCUCCUUUGCGUAGUAACUUUACGUCUCGCACUGGGAUCCGGAGGGACUCUUGCCGUAAAACCCCCCAAUUUUCCAAAGGUUGACCUCGGAUCAGGUAGGAAUACCCGCUGAACUUAAGCAUAUCAAUA